GGGCCACCUACUGCUGGAGAGUAACCGGAGGAAAUAAUGUCACCAUCUCACCGCAGUCAGUCUGCAUUCCUAGCUUCUGCAUUCAAGGGUGCGGUGGCUCACACCUAUAAUCCU